rnacentral:RNase_P_RNA from 1 species
ACGUUCGGGUAAUCGCUGCAACUUUUUGUUGUAGAGGAAAGUCCAUGCUCGCACGGUGCUGAGAUGCCCGUAGUGAUCGUGCCUAGCGAAGUCAUAAGCUAGGGCAGGCUAAUGUUUAGUCUGACGGCAGGGAAAAUUCCUAAGUCCUUUUAGGAUAUGGAAUGACUACCUUGAAAGUGCCACAGUGACGUAGCCUUGAGAGAAAUUUCAAGGGUGGAACGAGGUAAACCCCGCGAGCGAGAAACUCAAAUUAUGGUAGAGGCACUCUUUCUGAGGAAAUGAACGAAGAAAGAGACAAGUAAAUAUGCUUGGAGAUAGAUGAUUACCACCGGAGUACGAGAUAAUACCAAUCGCUUGUAGUACAAUGGUACAAAACAUGGCUUACAGAA